rnacentral:rRNA from 1 species
UGAACGCUAGCUACAGGCUUACCACAUGCACGUCGAGGGGAAACGGCAUCGAAAGCUUGCUUUUGAUGGGCGUCGACCGGCGCACGGGUGAGUAACGCGUAUCCAACCUGCCCAUCACUUGGGAAUAACCUUGCGAAAGUAAGACUAAUGCCCAAUGACAUCCCACGAAGGCAUCCGAAUGGGAUUAAAGAUUUAUCGGUGAUGGAUGGGGAUGCGUCUGAUUAGCUUGUUGGCGGGGUGACGGCCCACCAAGGCAACGAUCAGUAGGGGUUCUGAGAGGAAGGUCCCCCACAUUGGAACUGAGACACGGUCCAAACUCCUACGGGAGGCAGCAGUGAGGAAUAUUGGUCAAUGGGCGAGAGCCUGAACCAGCCAAGUAGCGUGCAGGAUGACGGCCCUAUGGGUUGUAAACUGCUUUUAUAAGGGAAUAAAGUGGGUCACGUGUGACUUUUUGCAUGUACCUUAUGAAUAAGGACCGGCUAAUUCCGUG